AUUGAACGCUGGCGGCAUGCCUUACACAUGCAAGUCGAACGGCAGCGCGGGGGCAACCCUGGCGGCGAGUGGCGAACGGGUGAGUAAUAUAUCGGAACGUACCCAAGAGUGGGGGAUAACUAGCGAAAGUUACGCUAAUACCGCAUACGAUCUAAGGAUGAAAGCAGGGGACCGCAAGGCCUUGUGCUCCUGGAGCGGCCGAUAUCUGAUUAGCUAGUUGGUGGGGUAAAGGCCCUACCCAAAGGCAUCGAUCAGUAGCUGGUCUGAGAGGACGACCAGCCACACUGGGACUGAGACACGGCCCAGCUCCUACGGGAGGCAGCAGU
rnacentral:rRNA from 1 species